GACGAACGCUGGCGGCGUGCUUAACACAUGCAAGUCGAACGGAAAGGCCCUGCUUUUGUGGGGUGCUCGAGUGGCGAACGCGUGAGUAACACGUGAGUAACCUGCCCUUGACUUUGGGAUAACUUCAGGAAACUGGGGCUCAUACCGGAUAGGAGCUCCUGCUGCAUGGUGGGGGUUGGAAAGUUUCGGCGGUUGGGGAUGGACUCGCGGCUUAUCAGCUUGUUGGUGGGGUAGUGGCUUACCAAGGCUUUGACGGGUAGCCGGCCUGAGAGGGUGACCGGCCACAUUGGGACUGCGAUACGCCCCAGACUCCUACGGGAGGCAGCAGUGGAGAAUAUUGCACAAUGGGCGGAAGCCUGAUGCAGCAACGCCGCGUGCGGGAUGACGGCCUUCGGGUUGUAAACCGCUUUCGCCUGUGACGAAGCGUGAGUGACGGUAAUGGGUAAAGAAGCACCGGCUAACUACGUG
rnacentral:rRNA from 1 species